GUGAACGUUACCAAACUGUUGCCUCGGCGGGGUCACGCCCCGGGUGCGUCGCAGCCCCGGAACCAGGCGCCCGCCGGAGGAACCAACCAAACUCUUUCUGUAGUCCCCUCGCGGACGUAUUUCUUUACAGCUCUGAGCAAAAAUUCAAAAUGAAUCAAAACUUUCAACAACGGAUCUCUUGGUUCUGGCAUCGAUGAAGAACGCAGCGAAAUGCGAUAAGUAAUGUGAAUUGCAGAAUUCAGUGAAUCAUCGAAUCUUUGAACGCACAUUGCGCCCGCCAGUAUUCUGGCGGGCAUGCCUGUCCGAGCGUCAUUUCAACCCUCGAACCCCUCCGGGGGAUCGGCGUUGGGGAUCGGGACCCCUCACACGGGUGCCGGCCCCUAAAUACAGUGGCGGUCUCGCCGCAGCCUCUCCUGCGCAGUAGUUUGCACAACUCGCACCGGGAGCGCGGCGCGUCCACGUCCGUAAAACACCCAACUUUCUGAAAUGUUGACCUCGGAUCAGGUAGGAAUACCCGCUGAACUUAAGCAUAUCAAUAAGCGGAGGAA
rnacentral:rRNA from 1 species